AAAUGCAGUUGCUGGUUCAGCCUUGGUGAGAGAAAGAGGUGGGGUACAUUGUACAUCGGUGAAGAUGGUGUCCGGAGCUGAAAAGAAAAAGGUCUUGGAAUUACAAGCAGUUAGACUUGGGUUUUUGCGUAAUGACUCCUGGUAUCCCACUGUGAGAAGACUUUCCCCAGCUUCUCGUCUGCAUUCUUCCUCGUUCCCUGCGGGAGAAUGAGUUGGAUUUGUCUGCCAUAUUCACAGCAAUCGAGGUGAUCCAGGUUGAAAGAAAAUCAAUAAGAUGUGUCCAUUUAUGCCUCACAAAGGAAGAAAGGUCUAAAGAACAGACAUGGGACGUGAUUCAAGCACUAGAGACUUAAUAAGACUUCUACUUGUGUUUGAAGGGGAUGGUAAUUUAUAUUUUACUUUGAACUUUUUUUUUAUGCUUCAUAACUAUUGGGAUUCGGGCUGACAUGGGAAGCAAGGAAAAGAAGGUUUGAUGCUGUCUUAGAAGACCUAACCCAUUUGGGAAGGCCAUGCUCAAAAGUUCAAAAAAUUUUGUUUUAGAAAAGAUUAAAGGGACAUCAUAUCAUCAUACUGAUUUAUCGCUAUUGAUAAAACUGGUUUAAAGUAUUUUGGAUUGGGGUACAAUAAAAAAAAAGUCUUUCUUUCUUCGA